rnacentral:rRNA from 1 species
UACGGAGGGGGCUAGCGUUGUUCGGAAUUACUGGGCGUAAAGCGCGCGUAGGCGGACCUGCAAGUCGGGGGUGAAAGCCCGAGGCUCAACCUCGGAACUGCCUUCGAUACUGCGGGUCUCGAGUCCGGGAGAGGUGAGUGGAAUUCCUAGUGUAGAGGUGAAAUUCGUAGAUAUUAGCUAGAACACCAGUGGCGAAGGCGGCCAACUGGUCCGGUACUGACGCUGAGGUGCGAAAGCGUGGGGAGCAAACAGG